rnacentral:rRNA from 1 species
GACGAACGCUGGCGGCGUGCUUAACACAUGCAAGUCGAACGGAAAGGCCCUGCUUUUGUGGGGUGCUCGAGUGGCGAACGGGUGAGUAACACGUGAGUAACCUGCCCUUGACUUUGGGAUAACUUCAGGAAACUGGGGCUAAUACCGGAUAGGAGCUCCUGCUGCAUGGUGGGGGUUGGAAAGUUUCGGCGGUUGGGGAUGGACUCGCGGCUUAUCAGCUUGUUGGUGGGGUCGUGGCUUACCAAGGCGUCGACCGGUAGCCGGCCUGAGAGGGGGAUCGGGCACACUGGAGCUGGGACACGGGCCAGGCUCCUACGGGAGGCAGCAGUGGGGGAUAUCGGACAAUGGGCGGAAGCCUGAUGCAGCCAUACCGCGUGGGAGAAGAAGGCCUUCGGGUUGUAAAGCCCUUUUGUUGGGAAAGAAAAGCAGCAGGUGAAUACCCCGCUGUUCUGACGGUACCCAAAGAAUAAGCACCGGCUAACUUCGUG